UGAACCAGUACUGAACAGAUUCGAGUCUGUCUUUUCCAUGCUGUUCUGUGUCACUGUUGGCAGCAUGCUGCCUGGAUAUAUUUCCAGAAAAAAACUGAGUCCUAAGAUAUUACUUUUCAGAGUUCUUGAAAUAUAUUGUCAAAUUGCCUUCCAGAAAGUCUAGAUCAAUAUACAAUCAUACUUACACAAGAGCAUCUGUUUGCCUACACCCUCAAUGAAACUGAAGACUAUCAAUAACUUUUGUCUUUGGCAAUAUCCGGGAGACCUGGAUCACACACAGCAGCUGACAGGAGCCUCACAAGCAGGUCUUGUACUUUAUCCAUGCUGUCCCCUAGAUUCAGCAAUCCCUCUUGAAUAAUACUCAGGUUUGGAACAUCAGUAUUUCCAUUAAAG